CUAAGGCAUAAUAUUCAUUACAAGGAAGAAGAUAAAACAAACGUCGAAUCGGUAUACCAAACGUAAUAUGAUUGAACAAUUUAAAAAUGAUCAUUUCCCUCCUUGCAAAAUUCAUAGCUGCAAUUUAAAUGCGUUUUAAAGUACUCACAACGUUACUUAAUUCAAGUAUUGUUGACAAACAAAUGUUUUAGUACGCUACUCAUUUCCCAUUCUGGUAAUAAUUUUCAUGUACCAUUUUUUAAACCAAAGUCGUGUUCGUGCUCAAUGAAUAUCAUUUGUAGUCUCCAGCCUUCGCUUCGCGAAAGAAGAGUUCACGCAAUUUUAAAAAAUUGACUUUGUAAGUUUGUAAGCGCUAAAAAAAAUGAAGCAUUUGGUCAUUGUUUCAUCCUUUAAGGCAACUAAAUAUGUGUGCUACAUGAAUAAGUUGCUGGAGCUACCUAUAAUUAAUAAUUACUAAUAUACUGGAUGGAAAAUUCUUUCUAUUCUUUGACCGCGAUGGAUUAAAUUCAAAUGUUUUAUCGAUUCACAAGAUACUCGUAAUGUUGUCUUCAAAAAUAAACGAAUUUUGCUUUUUGUUUCAAUGUGAAUUUUGACUUACAAGUUAGAGGUACAUAUCAAAUAUAGGAUGCUAAUAUAGCACAAGUUAAUAUUCUAAAAAAAAAUCUAAUAAUUACUCAAAGUCUAACCCAUGCACUAUCAAAAUAAAUGAUGAAUGAUUUGAUAUGACAAGCCAGCCAAUAGAUUACUCCAUCAAUUAGAAUGUAGCAUUUGGGUCUUU